rnacentral:rRNA from 1 species
GACAGAGGUGCCAAGCGUUAGGCGGAAUCACUGGGCUUAAAGCGUGUGUAGGCGGAUCGUUAAGUACCUUGUGAAAUCCCACGGCUCAACCGUGGAACUGCUCGGUAUACUGGCGGUCUUGAGCCACCUAGGGGCAACUGGAAUAAGCGGUGGAGCGGUGAAAUGCGUAGAUAUCGCUUGGAACGCCAACGGUGAAAACAGGUUGCUGGGGGUGUGCUGACGCUGAGACACGAAAGCCAGGGGAGCGAACGGG